CGGGGGAGGCGCUCGGGGCCCGCGCCCGCCAUGUUUCCCGGCAGCGCUCCCUGCCCGCCGCCCGCCUGAGCCUCCCGGGGCCGGCCCGGCCCGGCCCGGGGCCGCCCGCCUUCAUCCGCCGCCGGGACUCGAUCGACAGCAGCUCCCCAAGGUUUGUCCGUGUGGCAGCGGGCUCCGGCCGGUACCCCCGAGGGAUCCGCGGCUAGCGGGGCUGCCCUGGCUGCGAGUGCCUGAGGAGAGGCCGGUUCGGGCCGGGAGGGUCCCGGUUUGGCGAUGGGGGCGUUGGUUUGAGCUCUGCGGGGGACCCCCGGGUGCGGAGCCGAAACCCGCAUCCCCCAGCUGAGGACGAGGAGGGAUAAACCAGAGGUGAUCCGGUUCCGUCCCACGGCAGCGCUCCUGGCAGGCUCCGUGCCUCAGAGGGGCGAGGAUGGCUCAGGAGACAAACCAGACGCAGGUGCCUCUGCUGUGUACCACGGGCUGUGGGUUCUAUGGCAGCCCCCGGACCAACGGCAUGUGCUCCGUGUGCUAUAAGGAGUUCCUGCAGAGGCAGCAGAGCAGUGACCGGAUAAGCCCUCCAGCACCUGAGGAACUGGCUGAUACUUCCCAGAGACUUGACCAAGCCUGCUCUUGUCUCGUAGCACCCAGUGGUCCCAGCAGCAGCCCCAUGGCUCCCGAGGCCAUCGCAGGACAGUGCGCGGAGGGAGACUCCACACCUGAGGAUGCAAAAGCCAGCGCUCAGACUCCUGUGACCCAUCAGAUGACGGCCAUGAGCAUAUCCAGAGAGGAAACCAGCAACGAGACAGAGGAAUUCACCAAGACAGAUGAAGCCUCAUCGGCUUCUUCCUCAUCAGGUACCCUGCUUGAGAUAUCCCAGAACACGGCUGAGGGCAAGACGGCUUCGGAAAAACCGAAACCGAAGAAGAAUCGCUGCUUCACCUGCCGGAAGAAGAUUGGGCUGACUGGCUUCGACUGCCGCUGUGGGAACCUGUUCUGUGCCAUUCACCGGUACUCUGACAUGCAUGCCUGCCCAUACGACUACAAGGCGGAAGCUGCCGAGAAGAUCCGCAAGGAAAACCCCAUCGUUAUCGCCGAGAAGAUCCAGAAGUUGUGAAGGGGUCCGAGCAGCUCGAACUGCAGCCAGGCUGCCUGGUGCUCCUCCCCUUCCUCCCAGCCUUCCUCCUCCUCCUCCCAGCCCCUGCAGCGGUGUGAGGGUGACUCCAGCAGCGCACACAAACCGGGACGUGGGGACUCCUCGCGCCUCUGGCAGUCAGUUGGUGUUCCUCCUCUCCCUCCCUGCCUGACAGCCACAGCUCAGCUGAUGUGUUCUCAACCAGCUUCCCAAUGGAAAAGGGACCGUCCUGCCCCGCUGCUCUGGCUCUAAGACCUUCACACUCGCCUCUUGCCGGGCACUUUGCAUGGCGGGAGCGGCUGGGCUCAGCCAGGCUCUGCCGGGCUCAGCCUUUCCCUUUCCGGCGGCUCCGAGUCCUGCAAACCACCCAGGACUUGUGGCUGCAGUCCCCAAGCAGUCUGGACUCUGUUCCCUCUGCCUGUAGCCCCGGGAGCUGGGGGAUCCUGGCAGCCAGGCUGCCAUCUGCUUCCCGGGAGGUGUUUGCUCUCCGAUGCAGAGAAGUUGAUUCUGUAGUUCCAGCACCCCAGACCCCUCUCCUCACCCUCUGUUGACGCUGUUGGAGAAGCACCGAGGGGGCUGAGCAGUGAUGCUGGCACAGGGAAGAUAUUUUGUGGCUUGAAGUGACGUGGGCAGGGCAGGACCUUCCAGGAGGUUCUGCUCGCUGCCUUGUGCCUCUCUCCACGGGGAGGAAGCCGGGAACACCCCUGCUCCAGCCUCCUGCUUCAGCACCCCUGGAUAACCCCGACUGCUUUCCCAGCAAGGUUUUUCCUUCUGGAUAACAUUGACUUGAUGUCUGGAGCACGCGAGUGGCUGCACGUGUUACCCCUGCGCACACCUGGGGAGCUGGAGCUGGUGUGUGGCCAGGCUGGGUUUGCCACUGAGGCUGAGGAUGAUCCCUCACCCUCGGGAGAUGCAGGAAUUGCAGCCACCAGCCCCAGGAAGUGCAGCAGCUCCCAUGGAUCCCUUGGGAAAGCCCCCAGCCACCUGCUUCUCCAGCACCGCCCCUUUCCCUGUUCUCCCUCCCUGUCCAUGAGUGUAAAUACAACACAGUCUAGUUUGCUUGGA